rnacentral:rRNA from 1 species
AAUACAACUUUUAACAACGGAUCUCUUGGCUCUCGCAUCGAUGAAGAACGCAGCGAAAUGCGAUAAGUAAUGUGAAUUGCAGAAUUCAGUGAAUCAUCGAAUCUUUGAACGCACCUUGCGCUCCCUGGUAUUCCGGGGAGCACGCCUGUUCGAGUGUCAUGAAACUCUCAAACAAAGUAGAUUCGUUUCUACCUCUGUUUGGAUUUGGACUCUGCUGCGUCAAUGCGGCUGGUCUUAAAUAUAUUAGCUGAUCCUAGCGAAGGUUUGGUUCUACUCAGCAUGAUAAUUAUCUGAUGUUGAGGACAGUCUUAGGACUGGCCAGGCUCUCUAUGGAUUGCUUCCAAUCGUCUUUGGACAAUCAUUCAAUAUCUGACCUCGAAUCAGGUGGGACUACCCUGCUGAACUUAAGCAUAUCAAUAAGCGGAGGAAAAGAAACUAACAAGGAUUCCCCUAGUAACGGCGAGUGAAGCGGGAUGAGCUCAAAUUUAAAAUCUGGUAGUCUUUGGCUGCCCGAGUUGUAAUCUAGAGAAGCG